AGAGUUUGAUCCUGGCUCAGAUUGAACGCUGGCGGCAUGCUUUACACAUGCAAGUCGGACGGCAGCACAGAGAAGCUUGCUUCUUGGGUGGCGAGUGGCGAACGGGUGAGUAACAUAUCGGAACGUACCGAGUAAUGGGGGAUAACUAAUCGAAAGAUUAGCUAAUACCGCAUAUUCUCUGAGGAGGAAAGCAGGGGACCUUCGGGCCUUGCGUUAUUCGAGCGGCCGAUAUCUGAUUAGCUAGUUGGUGGGGUAAAGGCCUACCAAGGCGACGAUCAGUAGCGGGUCUGAGAGGAUGAUCCGCCACACUGGGACUGAGACACGGCCCAGACUCCUACGGGAGGCAGCAGUGGGGAAUUUUGGACAAUGGGCGCAAGCCUGAUCCAGCCAUGCCGCGUGUCUGAAGAAGGCCUUCGGGUUGUAAAGGACUUUUGUCAGGGAAGAAAAGGAUAGGGUUAAUACCCCUGUCUGAUGACGGUACCUGAAGAAUAAGCACCGGCUAACUACGUGCCAGCAGCCGCGGUAAUACGUAGGGUGCGAGCGUUAAUCGGAAUUACUGGGCGUAAAGCGAGCGCAGACGGUUACUUAAGCAGGAUGUGAAAUCCCCGGGCUCAACCUGGGAACUGCGUUCUGAACUGGGUGACUAGAGUGUGUCAGAGGGAGGUAGAAUUCCACGUGUAGCAGUGAAAUGCGUAGAGAUGUGGAGGAAUACCGAUGGCGAAGGCAGCCUCCUGGGAUAACACUGACGUUCAUGCUCGAAAGCGUGGGUAGCAAACAGGAUUAGAUACCCUGGUAGUCCACGCCCUAAACGAUGUCAAUUAGCUGUUGGGCAACUUGAUUGCUUAGUAGCGUAGCUAACGCGUGAAAUUGACCGCCUGGGGAGUACGGUCGCAAGAUUAAAACUCAAAGGAAUUGACGGGGACC
rnacentral:rRNA from 1 species